rnacentral:rRNA from 1 species
UUGGUAAGCAGAACUGGCGCUGUGGGAUGAACCAAACGUCGAGUUAAGGGGCCUAAAUGAAUGCUCAUUCAGAUCCCAUUGAAAGGCGUUGGUUGCUAUAGACAGCAGGACGGUGGCCAUGGAAGUUGGAAUCCGCUAAGGAGUGUGUAACAACUCACCUGCCGAAGCAACUAGCCCUUAAAAUGGUAUGGCGCUGAAGCAUUCUCCCGAUACUCGACCGCCGGGCGCACUACCGGCCCCGCUCUCCAAGGCGAGGUCUCGAAGCCCCGGUGAGUAGGAGGGUCGCAGUGGUGAGCGCUGAAGGGUUCCGGCGUGGGCCGGCCUGGAGCCGCCACUGGUGCAGAUCUUGGUGGUAGUAGCAAAUACUCGAGAGAGACUCCCUUGAUGACCGAAGCGGAGAAGGGUUCCAUGUGAACAUCAGUUGGACAUGGGUUAGUCGCUCCUAAGCCCAAGGCGAAAGCCUGAUCCC